UGGGGAAUAUUGGACAAUGGGCGCAAGCCUGAUCCAGCCAUGCCGCGUGAGUGACGAAGGCCUUAGGGUUGUAAAGCUCUUUUGGCGGGGAAGAUAAUGACGGUACCCGCAGAAUAAGCUCCGGCUAACUACGUGCCAGCAGCCGCGGUAAUACGUAGGGGGCAAGCGUUGUCCGGAUUUACUGGGUGUAAAGGGCGCGCAGGCGGGAUAAAAAGUCAGUGGUGAAAUCCUACAGCUUAACUGUAGAACUGCCUUUGAUACUUUUAUUCUUGAGUUCGGGAGAGAGAGACGGAAUUCCAGGUGUAGUGGUGAAAUACGUAGAUAUCUGGAAGAACACCAGUUGCGAAGGCGGUCUCUUGGUCCGACACUGACGCUGAGGCGCGAAAGCGUGGGGAGCAAACA
rnacentral:rRNA from 1 species